UGGGGAAUAUUGGACAAUGGGCGAAAGCCUGAUCCAGCCAUGCCGCGUGUGUGAAGAAGGUCUUCGGAUUGUAAAGCACUUUAAGUUGGGAGGAAGGGCAGUAAGCGAAUACCUUGCUGUUUUGACGUUACCGACAGAAUAAGCACCGGCUAACUCUGUGCCAGCAGCCGCGGUAAUACAGAGGGUGCAAGCGUUAAUCGGAAUUACUGGGCGUAAAGCACGCGUAGGUGGUUCGUUAAGUUGAAUGUGAAAGCCCCGGGCUCAACCUGGGAACUGCAUCCAAAACUGGCGAGCUAGAGUAGGGCAGAGGGUGGUGGAAUUUCCUGUGUAGCGGUGAAAUGCGUAGAUAUAGGAAGGAACACCAGUGGCGAAGGCGACCACCUGGGCUCAUACUGACACUGAGGUGCGAAAGCGUGGGGAGCAAACAGG
rnacentral:rRNA from 1 species